CCAGGACACUGGGGGCCUUGGAUUCCUUGGGCUGAGCACUGGGAACUGACAGUUCCUAGGGGAUACACACCCUGAGAAGUUCCAGGGCCCCAGGAACUCCUCUCAUCUCUGCUUCUGUCAAUCCAGAGGUUCUUGACCCCUCCACCCUAAAUGGGAAACCACAGAAAAUCGUCUGGAUCUGUCCCCUUCAGAGCCACCAGCCCAGCCAACCUGCUGCCAGAUGAUAACCCAGAAAAGCCCCUUCAUGAUUGCAUGGGAGUGACUGAGGUGCUCCAAUCCACCAGACCCGAAUGAACAGAUGUCCCCCUGCAAAAAGUCAAAGAGACAAUCUUGUCGAAGACAUGGUGUUCUGAUGUACCAUUUGCGCACAAGUGAACCCCAAAGAAGGAGACAAAGCCCUGGAAGGAAUCCACGCCCAAGAAAGCACUUCUGGAGAACAUCGGGAAGUGGAAUUUAUCCAUGGUUCUCAGUCCUAACAGGCCCAGAAACAGACCCAAAGGACUAUUCAUCAGACAAUUCAGGAGGCUGCACCUUUGUCCAAGUAUGAGCCUGCCCACAAGUUCCAGCCUGGAGACCUCGUGUGAGUAAAGAGGAUCUCAGCUCAGAUCCUGGAGCCAACAUAGAAAGGCCCAUGCUCUGUGGUCCUCACCACCCCCACAGCACUGAAGGUCACUGGUCACCUCAUGGAGCCACCAGACCCAGCUGAAGGAGGCUACAGAAGAUGACAGAUGGGUCAUCAUUACAUUCUCUCCAUGCCUGACUUGGACGCUACAAUUAUGAUUGUCCAAUUUUGUCUUCUUUGUUUCCCUGUGGGAAAGGCCUCAAACUCCCAUAGGUCAGGACCUUGCCUAUGGGAAUUAAGAAAGACCAGGACUGGGGAGCUCACAGCCAAUCUAUCCACUGAGACCCAACCCACCUUCCAGGAAGAUUUCUGUAAACUAUUACAACCAGAAGAUCCAGGGGGAUGGUUCACUCACUUCUGGGGCUGUGGGUCCAUUGGUGAAGAGAAGGAGCACUGAUUUAUCCAGUACUAUGCCUGCCUGAUGCCCCAUCCCCCUCAGAUGUUAGAAUCGAGGAGAAUACGAUUGAGCUCAGUGGAGUUGCAAAACCAAGUCCUCCUGGGGGCACACUGAUCCCUUCUUAGUCCUAGAAAGAAAACCAUCAUCACCUACCUGUGGCCACUGGCAAUGCAAUCCCAUAUCCAUAAAGGUUAGGGCCUGGCAGGAAACCCAUUAUUGGGAAACUGGUAGGACCUGGGGCGUCAAGUUAUAGCUGAACGGUCCAAACCCAGGCAGCAGUUAAUAUUCAAAAGAAACCUGUACCUAGGGUCAUCAGCCUGUUGGGCUGAACCAGCCUAUCUUGGCACCCCUGAGAUAUGACCCUCUCCAAGGCAGUAAACCCUCUACCUCCACUUUGCCAAGGAACUCCCUCAGUAACCAUGAGGAUCAAAGUCAAGGGGCAGAAGAAGCCAGCCCCUUGGAGUUUGGUAUCCUAAGUGGAGGGUACCAGUUUCUUAACCAUUCUCAGCCAGACAUAGAUAGAGAAUGCUGGCUAUACCUAGACCCCAGACCCCCAUAUGAUGUUGGGAUUGGAACUAAUCAAACAAUAAACUCCACUUCCAACCCUAACAGCUGUAAAAGGGACCAGCCUAAGCUCACCCUGGGUGAGCCUGCAAGGGAAGGGUGCCUGCUUAAUGUCACCGAGAUACCCCCUAGAGAGUUUCCCUGUGCAGAUCUCUGUAGCCAGGCACAGCAGCUUAACCCCAGGAAUGGUGGUUGAGUGUAUUUCCAGGCCUCAGAGAGUACCGGGUUUGCUUGCAGUAACGGCUUAACCAAGUGUACAUCUUGUGAUGGUUUGCACUGGACGAGAGCCCACUCUUUUGUGUCCUUGUGUACAUCACACCACAGGUGUUCGUCUGUAAGAAGAGGACAGAGCCCGCCUAGAUCUAGACUCUGGGCCCUUAAUACUAGUUUUUCAGUCUGGAGCCUAGUAGCUCUGAUAAAGCAGCUUCAUCCUGUUCAUCCUGGACUUCUGGACAUGGGACCUCCCCUGCCCCCAGAAAACCCCAGUUUGAUUUCUGUCCCUUGGAACUAGAAAUGUCCUGACUGUCAGUGAUGAUUGGGUAUCCGAGAAGAGAUGUCUAGAUUUAACAGUGGGCCACAUUGUAGUAGAAGAUGGGAGUUUUCUUUCCCUCUUCCUCCCUCUGUGUCUUAUGCCAGUCUUCCACAAAACUGCAACCAGCACGUCAUUGUGCUUGCCUCCUGGGCCCUCCCGAGUCUCUCGAAUGAGGAGUGCUUGUGGCUCAGUUUAUCUUUCCUUUUUACUUAGUCGAUCCUUCAAGACUCAGGAAUAACUCUUCGUUUCUAAGAUUUUGGAACAAAAAUUGAGUCAGAUUUGGGAACUGAUCUUUGACCACAUAGGGAGGCUGGUGGAGGGGAGUUGAUUUUCACUGUUUCAUAUUCUCUGUGUUUCUGCUUCUCAGCCAGGUGCCAUAUGGUGCCAGGCAUAUGGGAUGUUUAGUAAGGAUUGGUAGGCUAAAGGAAAUAGCGUGCGCGCACACACACCACCACCACCACCACCCAGCAUAAAAUAUGUGAUCUCAGCCCUUAGGGCGUCUCCCAGUCUGGUUGGGGAUUCGAUCUCAGUAAGGUCUUCAGCCCAUUUGGCAUUCUGGGUGGGGGAGAAUUGUGACUCAGAGGAGAGAGGACCUUGGAUUUGGGGAGGGGCUGAGGAAGGAUCUGAGGAAGGAUGACUGAGGUUGGCUUUGUAAAGACAGGUGGGUUUUAGUGAGGGGACAGUCGGAGAUGGAGUUGUAAAAUGAGGGUGGUGUCCCCUCAGGACUGUCUGUAGACUGUGGUAGCUACAGGUAGGGGUUCUGGCUGGUGAGGUGGAGAGGGUCUCUCAGGGUGACCAGGAUCCCACUAAUGCACAGAAAAGAACCAAUUAAGAAGCCCUCCUUUUCCACCCACAUUGGGCCAAGAUGAGAGGUCCUUGGCUCAGGCACACAGCGAU